GAAAAUCCGUCGAUUUUUAAAAUCGUGAGGGUUCAAGUCCCUCUAUCCCC
rnacentral:tRNA from 1 species